rnacentral:rRNA from 1 species
AUUGCACGCUGGCGGCAGGCCUCACACAUGCAAGUCGAGCGGAGCGGCGGAAGGGUGAGUAAUGCCUAGGAAUCUGCCUGGUAGUGGGGGAUAACGUCCGGAGACGGGCGAUAAUACCGCAUAAUAUAAGAUGAGCAUAGGUCGGAUUAGCUAGUGGGUGGGAUAAGGGCCUACCAAUGCGACGAUCAGUAAGUGGUCUGAGCGGAUGAUCAGUAACACGGGAACUGAGACACGGUCCAGACUCCUACGGGAGGCAGCAGUGGGGAAUAUUGGACAAUGGGCGAAAGCCUGAUCCAGCCAGGCCGCGUGUGUGAAGAAGGUCUUCGGAUUGUAAAGCACUUUAAGUUGGGAGGCGUUACCAACAGAAUAAGCACCGGCUAACUUCGUGCCAGCAGCCGCGGUAAUAC